rnacentral:rRNA from 1 species
AUUGAACGCUGGCGGCAGGCCUAACACAUGCAAGUCGAACGAGAGUCGGACGGGUGAGAAAUGUCUGUGGAACUGCGCGCUGGAGGGGGAUAUCAACUGGAAACGGUAUCUAAUACCGCAUACCCUCGGAUGUGCCCCGAUGGGAUUAGCUAGUAGGUGGGGUAACGGCUCACCUAGGCGACGAUCCCUAGCUGGUCUGAGAGGAUGACCAGCCACACUGGAACUGAGACACGGUCCAGACUCCUACGGGAGGCAGCAGUGGGGAAUAUUGCACAAUGGGCGCAAGCCUGAUGCAGCCAUGCCGCGUGUAUGAAGAAGGCCUUCGGGUUGUAAAGUACUUUCAGCGGGGAGGCGUUACUCGCAGAAGAAGCACCGGCUAACUCCGUGCCAGCAGCCGCGGUAAUAC